GACGAACGCUGGCGGCGUGCUUAACAUAUGCAAGUCGAACGUGAUUUUUGUGGAAAUUCUUUCGGGAAUGGAAAUGAAAUGAAAGUGGCGAACGGGUGAGUAACACGUGAGCAACCUACCUUACACAGGGGGAUAGCCGUUGGAAACGACGAUUAAUACCGCAUGAGACCACAGAAUCGCAUGAUAUAGGGGUCAAAGAUUUAUCGGUGUAAGAAGGGCUCGCGUCUGAUUAGCUAGUUGGAAGGGUAAAGGCCUACCAAGGCGACGAUCAGUAGCCGGUCUGAGAGGAUGAACGGCCACAUUGGAACUGAGACACGGUCCAAACUCCUACGGGAGGCAGCAGUGGGGAAUAUUGCACAAUGGGGGGAACCCUGAUGCAGCGACGCCGCGUGAGCGAAGAAGGUUUUCGAAUCGUAAAGCUCUGUCCUAUGAGAAGAUAAUGACGGUAUCAUAGGAGGAAGCCCCGGCUAAAUACGUGCCAGCAGCCGCGGUAAUACGUAUGGGGCGAGCGUUGUCCGGAAUUAUUGGGCGUAAAGGGUACGUAGGCGGCCUUUUAAGUCAGGUGUGAAAGCGUGAGGCUUAACCUCAUUAAGCACUUGAAACUGGAAGGCUUGAGUGAAGGAGAGGAAAGUGGAAUUCCUAGUGUAGCGGUGAAAUGCGUAGAUAUUAGGAGGAAUACCGGUGGCGAAGGCGACUUUCUGGACUUUUACUGACGCUCAGGUACGAAAGCGUGGGGAGCAAACAGG
rnacentral:rRNA from 1 species